GGGAAAACAGCCUGAAAACACCAACAAUCCUUAGGCAGCAGCUGUCAAUCGUGGAUUAACUGGCCGUUCAGGAAGCCCAUACGAAGCUGUGAUCUCACUGAAAAAACAUCCUGCCGGUCUCCAACCCACCAACCUUCAAAAUGAAACUCUGAAAUCUACGACUUUCCGCUCAGUCACCAAUUACCAGAUUAAGGAAUUGGCAACUGAAAGGCCACGACAGGUUUUGGAACGUAGAGGCACACUUCGUUAAGACUCACCACAUCGCUGCUUCCUGUCUUUCUGGGGCUCUUUCCCUCUGUGAGAGCACUUUGACACUUUGUGGAUUAUUCUUCCAGGUCCCUUAAUCAAUUUAACAUUAACAUUCCUGUGAAAUAUUAAUGAAAUAAUAUUAAAAAAAGAAAAAUGUUCCUACAAUACUGCAACAUUUUAAUGCCUCAUUAAAAUCAUUAGCAAUGCUAAUACUAAAGAACUUACUUCAUCUUUCAGAGAACCAAAAAAUAAAUCAUAAUAAAAUGUUUGUUAAUGUACAUCUGGAGAAAUAAUUUAUACAUUGCCAGCCUAUAUAAGCUUCAAAAACUCCAAAGAUGACAGAGUAAGGUGACCCUAUUAAGCACAUGCAUUGAGUCCUGGCUUUGGGGGCU